rnacentral:rRNA from 1 species
CUUCCCGUCCGCUCAGCCGUACUUAAGCCACACGCCGGGAGGUUAGUAGUUGGGUGGGUGACCACCAGCGAAUCCCUUCUGUUGUAUGUU